rnacentral:rRNA from 1 species
GACGAACGCUGGCGGCGUGCUUAACACAUGCAAGUCGAACGGAAAGGCCCUGCUUUUGUGGGGUGCUCGAGUGGCGAACGGGUGAGUAACACGUGAGUAACCUGCCCUUGACUUUGGGAUAACUUCAGGAAACUGGGGCUAAUACCGGAUAGGAGCUCCUGCUGCAUGGUGGGGGUUGGAAAGUUUCGGCGGUGGGGGAUGGUCUCGCGGCUUAUGCGCUAGUUGGUGGGGUAGUGGCUUACCAAGGCUUUGACGGGUAGCCGGCCUGAGAGGGUGACCGGCCUCAAGGGGACUAAGAGAGGGCCCAGACUCGUACGGGAGGCAGAAGUGGAGAACAUUGCGGAAUGGGGGGAAGCCUGAUGCAGCGGCGCCGCGUGCGGAAUGACGGCCUUCGGGUUAUAAACCGCUUUCGACUGAAACGAAGCGUGAGUGACGGUAAUGGGUAAAGAAGCACCGGCUAACUACGUG